GACGUAGGGCGCGAGCGUUGUCCGGAUUUAUUGGGCGUAAAGAGCUCGUAGGCGGCUCAUUGCGUCAACCGUGAAAACCAGCAGCUCAACUGUUGGCUUGCGGUUGAUACGGGUGGGCUGGAGUUCGGUAGGGGAGACUGGAAUUCCUGGUGUAGCGGUGAAAUACGCAGAUAUCAGGGGGAACACCGGUGGCGAAGGCGGGUCUCUGGGCCGAUACUGACGCUGAGGAGCGAAAGCGUGGGGAGCGAACAGG
rnacentral:rRNA from 1 species